GAGUUAAGUCAAUAAACGCGUCGUUUUGUAUCGUAUAGGUUGACACUUUCUUUCUUCGCCGUCGCAAUAUCGAUAUCAGGUCACACCCUAGGGUUUGGAUUCAGAUUUUUCUUUUUUUUUUUGAAAAAAGGGCUUCUGGGUUUCGAUUCAGUUGCUUCAUCUUCUUCAUUCCGAUCCAGAAAUCUACCAGUUACGGAUUCAUCAUUUUAAAGUUCUCCUUAAAUCCAUCCUCCACGAUCAACAUUCAAUGUUAGCUUCGCUCUUGCAAAGCGGUGGAGAUUCGAGUAUAAAAAGGUGUUAUGAUCUUAUAUAUCAUGGUCAUUUUUUAAAAAAAGUUUUUCGUUGUUUCAGUCCACUCUCAUGGCAGCCACCGUGAAUUGACGUGUCUGUGACUGUGAGCCUGUUUGAAUGACAAGCUGUGACGUUUCACAGCAAGCUUGAAGGUUUUGGGGGUGAUCCGCGAGUUGUUGUCGCAUCUAGCAUAAAUCCUAGGAUUGUAGGAGGCCGUCUGUUCUUAAAUGCCACGCCAGAGACUCAUGCAGGGGAGGUUUUUUUUAACGGUAAGUGUUUGAUGAUUCCUACGUUACUACAUUCACCUUCGGUUUGUUGUGAUACUGAUACAUAAUGCCCUCUCACGUGAUAUUUCACAUCGCUGUACGCUGGCUUCUAGAAACAGUUGGAACAACCCCGCACCUUCUUUGCUGAGGGGAUACGCCAAGGUUGAACCACUGAGCAUAUCUAAGCUGAAUAAGUUCGUUCUCACAGCCAAGCCUCAGGUGACUGGAAUCAAGAUGGAAAGAGGAAGGUGUUAUGUCUCCUGCUUCAUGUAAUGUACACGAGGAAGCUCCAACGAACUGUCAUCUCAUUCACUUUCGUGUCCCGCAAUAACACUAAAGCUAUUGGUGUGCUCAGGUACCGUGUGGAAAUGAGCAUUAGCUGAUGACACGAUGAGGGUCUAUUUGUUGAUUUUGGUGGUGAGAUGACCAAACUCCAUAACAUGCGAGACUACGAAGCUGGUCAUCUCAUGGCUGGUCUGGACCGGGAGUAAACCCAGAGGAGUCUCAGCCACUUCCUUUUAUACAAGGAGAUAUUCAAGGAUCUACAAGACCAAAAGGACAACGUCUCCACUUUUGAAGAAAUUACUCAGUCAGGACCAAGGUUUUGUAUUUGCAGAAAAUGAGAAUUUUAAUCACCAAAACCUUCUCUUUUAUACCAAUUAUUACGGACACACAUACAUUUUGUUAUUUUAACAAUCUACUUUCGUUAAGACA